UCCUACAGGGUCCUCAUUGUGUGCCUGGU
rnacentral:piRNA from 1 species